rnacentral:rRNA from 1 species
AAGCUCGUAGUUGAAUUUCGGGGUUAGUAGGUUGGUCAUGCCUCUGGUAUGUACUGGUCUCACUGAUUCCUCCUUCCUUAUGAACCGUAAUGCCAUUAAUUUGGUGUUGCGGGGAAUUUGGACUGUUACUUUGAAAAAAUUAGAGCGUUUAAAGCAAGCUAACGCUUGAAUACAUUAGCAUGGAAUAAUGAAAUAGGACGUUCGAUCUUAUUUUGUUGGUUUCUAGGAUUGACGUAAUGAUUAAUAGGGAUAGUUGGG